rnacentral:ncRNA from 2 species
UAGCGUUCCCCAUGCCGCAGUGUCAGGGAAGCCGGUGCAAGUCCGGCACGGUCCUCGCCACUGUGACCGGGGAGCGGACCCCCCACGACACCACUGGUGCACCUCGCGGAGCGCGGGACCACCGGGAAGGUCGGGGCGAGCGUCGAUCCGGGAGUCAGGAGACCGGCUGCGGCGCGCACCACGUC